UACAGAGGUCCCAAGCGUUGUUCGGAUUCAUUGGGCGUAAAGGGUGCGUAGGCGGCGCGGUAAGUCGGGUGUGAAAUCUCGGGGCUUAACUCCGAAACUGCAUUCGAUACUGCCGUGCUUGAGGACUGGAGAGGAGACUGGAAUUUACGGUGUAGCGGUGAAAUGCGUAGAUAUCGUAAGGAAGACCAGUGGCGAAGGCGGGUCUCUGGACAGUUCCUGACGCUGAGGCACGAAGGUCAGGGGGAGCAAACGGG
rnacentral:rRNA from 1 species